AGUGAACGCUGGCGGCAGGCCUAAUACAUGCAAGUCGAACGGCAGCACAGCAGAGCUUGCUCUGUGGGUGGCGAGUGGCGGACGGGUGAGGAAUACAUGGGAAUCUGCCCAGUCGUGGGGAUAACGUAGGGAAACUUACGCUAAUACCGCAUGCGCCCUUCGGGGGAAAGCCGGGGGCCUUCGGGCCUGGCGCGAUUGGAUGAGCCCAUGUCGGAUUAGCUAGUUGGCGGGGUAAUGGCCCACCAAGGCGACGAUCCGUAGCUGGUCUGAGAGGAUGAUCAGCCACACUGGAACUGAGACACGGUCCAGACUCCUACGGGAGGCAGCAGUGGGAAUAUUGGACAAUGGGGCGCAAAGCCCUGAUCCAGCCAUGCCGCGUGAGUGAAGAAGG
rnacentral:rRNA from 1 species